AGAUUGAACGCUGGCGGCGUGCUUAACACAUGCAAGUCGAGCGGUAACGCGGGAGCAAUCCUGGCGACGAGCGGCGAACGGGUGAGUAAUGCUUGGGAAUCUGCCCAUUAGUGGGGAACAACCAGCCGAAAGGUUGGCUAAUACCGCAUACGCCCUACGGGGGAAAGCGGGGGAUCGAAAGACCUCGCGCUAAUGGAUGAGCCCAAGUCGGAUUAGCUUGUUGGUAGGGUAACGGCCUACCAAGGCGACAAUCCGUAGCUGGUCUGAGAGGACGACCAGCCACACUGGGACUGAGACACGGCCCAGACUCCUACGGGAGGCAGCAGUGGGGGAAUAUUGGACAAUGGGGGGCAACCCUGAUCCAGCGACGCCGCGUGUGUGAAGAAGGCCUGCGGGUUGUAAAGCACUUUUAGUGGGGAUGAAAAGCUCAGGGUUAACACCUCUGGGUCUUGACCUAACCCACAGAAAAAGCACCGGCUAACUCUGCGCCAGCAGCCGC
rnacentral:rRNA from 1 species